rnacentral:rRNA from 1 species
AUCUGAAAGACUCUCGGCAACGGAUAUCUCGGCUCUUGCAUCGAUGAAGAACGUAGCGAAAUGCGAUACUUGGUGUGAAUUGCAGAAUCCCGUGAACCAUCGAGUCUUUGAACGCAAGUUGCGCCCGAAGCCAUUAGGCUGAGGGCACGCCUGCCUGGGUGUCGCCC